rnacentral:rRNA from 1 species
UACGUAGGGUGCGAGCGUUAAUCGGAAUUACUGGGCGUAAAGCGUGCGCAGGCGGUUCGUUGUGUCGGCGGUGAAAGCCCCCGGCUCAACUGGGGAGGGUCACGCGAUACUGCUCGACUUGAAGGCAGGAGAGGGAAGUGGAAUUCCCGGUGUAGUGGUGAAAUGCGUAGAUAUCGGGAGGAACACCAGUGGCGAAGGCGACUUCCUGGCCUGUUCUUGACGCUGAGGCGCGAAAGCUAGGGUAGCAAACGGG